rnacentral:rRNA from 1 species
UACGAAGGGGGCUAGCGUUGUCCGGAAUGACUGGGCGUAAAGCGCACGCAGGCGGCUUGGUAAGUCUGCUGUUAAAUCCUGGAGCUCAACUCCAGAACUGCCUUUGAUACUGACGGUCUUGAGUUCGGGAGAGGUGAGUGGAACUGCGAGUGUAGAGGUGAAAUUCGUAGAUAUUCGCAAGAACACCAGUGGCGAAGGCGGCUCACUGGCCCGAUACUGACGCUGAGGUGCGAAAGCGUGGGGAGCAAACAGG